CAGUCGCCGCGGUAAUACGUAUGUCACGAGCGUUAUCCGGAUUUAUUGGGCGUAAAGCGCGUCUAGGUGGUUAUGUAAGUCUGAUGUGAAAAUGCAGGGCUCAACUCUGUAUUGCGUUGGAAACUGUAUAACUAGAGUACUGGAGAGGUAAGCGGAACUACAAGUGUAGAGGUGAAAUUCGUAGAUAUUUGUAGGAAUGCCGAUGGGGAAGCCAGCUUACUGGACAGAUACUGACGCUGAAGCGCGAAAGCGUGGGUAGCAAACAGGAUUAGAUACCCCUGUAGUCCCUGUCUCUUAUACC
rnacentral:rRNA from 1 species